UAUCCUGCGCAACAGAGCUGCAGAGGAAACUGGGAUUAAGAGCAAAGAAUGCUCUGUACUUGAGGAGAGAUAUGAGGAGGGGAGGACUGAAAUUGAACAGAAUAUUGUAGAACUCAACAGAACCAGAAACUCCAAAACAGCACUCAUUCUGAAUGUAAUAAACCUGCAUGAUGAUCUGACAACUCUGAGGGAUCUGAUCUCCACCACAGAAAAUCCAGACAGGAUCUCAGAGCUGCAGAGGCAACUGGAAGAGAAGCAAGAAGAACUGAACUCCAAGACUGCCGACAUAGAGAGACUGAUUGCCAAUCCAAAAAUAAUUUUAACAAUCACCGAGCUGCAAGAUGAGAUAGGGGCCCUUCAGAAAAAGGCUGGCAAUAAUACUACUGGUGGCCGUGGAGAAGAGUUGCAAAACAGAUUGGAUGGCCUUAUCAGUGAAAUAGACGACAAAGACGGUGACAUUACAAAACUGAUGCUGAACAUCAUGACGCUGCAGAGUCAGGUGGAGCAGCUGCAGAGACAGUUGUUAGAUGUCCACAUGUUAAAAAAAUAACUCAGGUAAAGCUCAGUAAUGAUCUUACAACCAAGAAGGACAAGCUGCAGAAAUACAUCAACGAGCUGAAUGAGAAGAAUCCGACAAUUGCCAUCUUGAUAUUUGUUUUUCAGUUCUCACAGUCACUGAUCUGCACAACCAACUCAGAAACCUAGAAAAAGAAAAGAACAAUGACAACACAACGUCUACAGUUGUUCCUAAGUAUCUCAUUGUCUUCAGAUUACUGAAUUCACUUCAUAAAACCUUUGCGGUUUGAUGACCUGAAGCACAACUGACUUUUUCUAGAGCCGAGGGAACAGCAAAAGGCAAAAAUUGCAGAACAUCCACGUGAUCAAUCUGAGGUCAAGGUCCUUCACAGUCUGCUUCAAGCUGAAGAGAGAGAACAUGCUUUUGCUCAGCCUGAGGUGAGAGAGCUGCUGAGGACACUGCAAUUAAAGAGUGAAGAAUGCUCUGGACUUGAGGAAAGAUAUGAAAAAUUGGAACAAACACAACAAGAAGUGAACAAAAAACUUGAAAACGCAAAUAAAGAUAUGUCGCCUACUGUAUAUUGUUUGACAGUUUGGGAAAUACGCUUAUUUGCUUUUUGUCAUAGAUUUAGAUCAUGUUUUUAUGCAAUAAUGCUACAGACAGAAGGCGGUUAGCUUAGCACAAAGACUAGAAACGUGUAAACUGCUAGCCUGGCUCUGUCCAAAGGUAAUAAUGUGUGUUGUGAUUUUAUGUGGGGUUAUGUGUCAGACUAUUUCUUGGUUGGGAGCAGACACUUCCUGAAAUCUCUGCCAGCUGGCUGGUUCCUCAUUUCUAGUCUUUAUGCUAAGCUAAACUAACCAGGCCUCUGGCUGUGGCUACAUAUUCACCAUACAGACAUGAGCGUGGAUUUGAUCUAUUCUCUAUCGCUCGGCAAGAAAGCAAACAAGUGCAUUUCCCAAAAUUUUGGACUAUUCCUUUGACACUUGUUCUUGACACUUGGUGUUUGAUACAUACUGUAUUUG